rnacentral:rRNA from 1 species
GCGGGGCUGGAACCUCUCGGGGUUACAGCCUUGCUGAAUUAUUCACCCUUGUCUUUUGCGUACUUCUUGUUUCCUUGGUGGGUUCGCCCACCACUAGGACAAACAUAAACCUUUUGUAAUUGCAAUCAGCGUCAGUAACAAAUUAAUAAUUACAACUUUCAACAACGGAUCUCUUGGUUCUGGCAUCGAUGAAGAACGCAGCGAAAUGCGAUAAGUAGUGUGAAUUGCAGAAUUCAGUGAAUCAUCGAAUCUUUGAACGCACAUUGCGCCCUUUGGUAUUCCAAAGGGCAUGCCUGUUCGAGCGUCAUUUGUACCCUCAAGCUUUGCUUGGUGUUGGGCGUCUUGUCUCUAGCUUUGCUGGAGACUCGCCUUAAAGUAAUUGGCAGCCGGCCUACUGGUUUCGGAGCGCAGCACAAGUCGCACUCUCUAUCAGCAAAGGUCUAGCAUCCAUUAAGCCUUUUUUUCAACUUUUGACCUCGGAUCAGGUAGGGAUACCCGCUGAACUUAAGCAUAUCAAUAAGCCGGAGG